UACGAAGGUCCCAAGCGUUGUUCGGAAUCACUGGGCGUAAAGGGAGCGUAGGCUGUGAGGUAAGUCGGGUGUGAAAUCUCGGGGCUUAACUCCGAAACUGCAUUCGAUACUGCGGUGCUUGAGGACUGGAGAGGAGACUGGAAUUUACGGUGUAGCAGUGAAAUGCGUAGAGAUCGUAAGGAAGACCAGUGGCGAAGGCGGGUCUCUGGAAAGUUCCUGACACUGAGGCACGAAGGCCAGGGGAGCAAACGGG
rnacentral:rRNA from 1 species